AUGUCAGAUAUUGUACACAGUCAUGCUGAACAUGUAGAGAAAAAGAGAAGAGUUUUGCGCGACAAUACAAUGUCAUGCAGACAUUGCUCCAUGGUGGGUUCAAUGGCAAACCCUCUCCACCCCUCUCCAGAUUGUAAUCCAGAGAAAGAUAUCUGUUCUGAGGCAUAUUCAGACGCCGCUGACCACUCCUAUUUACCCUCCAAGCCAUUUGGGUGGGAGAUGGAAAAAUCUGGAGUGAAAACAAGGCCUUCAGAGCAGACAGUGCUACCUGUCGAAGCAGAUCUCUUGUUGGGUCCCGAUAGCUCCUCAGAGAUUGAUUUAGAGACAGAUGACCAGUCCUAUUCCCCCACUGAGGUGUAUGCUCUAACUUGGCACGGUUAUACUGCUCAUAUUAUGCAUAUGGUGUCUUGCAUUGCAUAG
rnacentral:rRNA from 1 species